UUUCGCCUCUUUGGAAGCCAUUCAUUAUUCCUUGUCUGCAAUUCCAUUUCCUGAGCAGGAAUAAAAAAGAAAAACUUUUCUCCAUCUUAUUCGUUAUGUCGACUUCGUGCACCGACUCCUCAACCAAUUCAGAUGAUGAAGACAGGAGCACAAUGACUUGUCUCACAAAAAUAUAGGAUUUGGUGGCAUCGGUAAUUAAACAGAUCCAAGUUCUUUCGAUUAGUCGGAAUGUGUACCUCAUGGCUGGUCUAAGGUCGGGCUGGGAAGAAAUGUUCCGAGGGCUAAAAGUGAUGAUUUGCCUGAGGAGGCUCUAGCUCGUCUAGCGUACCAAUUUCCUAGUGUUGGUGGCUCGAUGUCUAGCCUCGUAGUGGAUUGGGACACUACUAGUCCCAACCAACCCUCAGAUGUUUAGGCACGGGUCAAAAAUACAUAAACCUUGGUUGCUUGACUGAUUACGAUCACAUGGAAGUGGGACAUGAAACACAUGCGUUUUAGGACACCAUGAUGUUACUUAUUCAAGCAUGUCUUUUGGAUCGCUAUUGUGGGGGUCUUGUUCGAGGACGGAUCCUGCACAGAGAUAACUGACCAUUUCCCUGCUAUGUGAACUUCAUCAAAUAGGUCAUGCCAAACAUUCUCCUGCAUGCACUGAAUGUUUCUCUUGAGGAUUCUGAGCAAGUGUUUUAGUAGAUCUUUUAACCUAUUAGUUUGGAAGUAUACAUCAUAUGUUUCCUUGCUUGAAUGUUGAAUCCUAACUUUCGUGCUCUUUAAUGAAGAAUUUAAGUUCAUCUAUA